GUGGGUGGACCUCUAAUACUUGAAGCUGCAGACAUCAGUUGUACUCAACUAAAGAACAUACGCUAUAUUCCGAUCUCAGAUAUUUGGAGCCCUCAAGUAGAUGGCAGGUUUAAGAUCAUGAGAUUCUGUCUACAAUAUCGUGAAUGGACUUUGUAUCCUCAAUAAAGAGCAUCAUGGAGUCUUUUAAUUCAA